rnacentral:rRNA from 1 species
UACGUAGGGUGCGAGCGUUGUCCGGAAUUACUGGGCGUAAAGAGCUCGUAGGCGGUGUGUCGCGUCGGCCGUGAAAACCUGCAGCUUAACUGUGGGCUUGCGGUCGAUACGGGCAUCACUGGAGUUCGGCAGGGGAGACUGGAAUUCCUGGUGUAGCGGCGAAAUGCGCAGAUAUCAGGAGGAACACCGGUGGCGAAGGCGGGUCUCUGGGCCGAUACUGACGCUGAGGAGCGAAAGCGUGGGGAGCGAACAGG